GGCUUGUUGGUCUAGAGGCAUGAUUCCUGCUUUGGGUGCAAGAGGUCCCGGGUUCAAAUCCCGGAUGGGCCA